rfam:Aedes albopictus isolate Foshan contig25706, whole genome shotgun sequence.
UGUUCUGUGGCUCAGUUGGUUUAAGCACCGGUCUAGCGAAUACGGAUUCGUGGGUUCAAAUCCCACCAGAACGC